UACGAAGGGGGCUAGCGUUGCUCGGAAUCACUGGGCGUAAAGCGCACGUAGGCGGAUUGCUAAGUCAGGGGUGAAAUCCUGGAGCUCAACUCCAGAACUGCCUUUGAUACUGGCGACCUUGAGUCCGGGAGAGGUGAGUGGAACUGCGAGUGUAGAGGUGAAAUUCGUAGAUAUUCGCAAGAACACCAGUGGCGGAGGCGGCUCACUGGCCCGGUACUGACGCUGAGGUGCGAAAGCGUGGGAGCAAACAGG
rnacentral:rRNA from 1 species